rnacentral:lncRNA from 1 species
UGAUUUCAACAUCUCGGCCUCCAUUUCCACCUUGGUCCCCAUAAUAGUUUCCUCGUCCCUCACCCACUUAGUUGUUGUGUUAGUAACCUCUUUGGACUUCUCCUUGAUAUUGGUUACCAUGUUCUUCUGCCAUUUGUUGACCAUACUCUUGAUUGGCAUAGGCUUCCCUUGGUUCACCACAUUGAGGUUGGUUCCCAUAUUGUCUUCUUCCAUGUUGUACCGGGCCAAACCUACCUCCUCGUCCUCUAUACCACAUUUGACCUCUUGGUCAAUUCCUUGGAAAUUCAUUCAUUGGCGCUUCUUCACCUUCACCUUCAUAUCCCCCUUGGUACUCAUCAUCCCUCACCUCUAUUACAGGAAUUGGUUGGGUUUGUGGCAUUUGGUAGGGUGGAUUUUGGUUUGGUGGAGCUUCUUGAUUGAGUUGGGACUAGAAUGGUCGAUUGGUAUUUUGGACAUUGGAACCGAAACGGUUUGAAAAGUGAAAAAAAGUGGAGAAAGUUGGAAAUGAUGAGUUGUUGUGCACUUUCAAGGAGGGUGUAGUCACUUAUACCUAAAUGUUAUCCUAACCUUUCCUAAGCCCAUAUUACAAGCUUAACAAAGUCCUUUGAGAUUUCUAACCAAAUGGAGUUGAGUCAAUAAUGAUUGAAAAUAUGGGCAAGCCUAUGGUGUGACAUUUGUGUACAUGAGAUGACUCUUUGUGAGUGUGAGUGUUGCAUCUUUGUUGUCCCAUGUCUUGUUUAUAUGUGUGUGCGGUUUUGGGACACUUCUUUCAUGUGAGGGCAUGUAAGCUGAAAAAGUGGUGAUUUUGAAAAUUCCUAAUUGAGUCAAGUGAGCAUGUGAAAGAGUUAAUGAGUUGAGUCAUUUCUUGAGUUUGAGUUGUUGUCACUUAAAAAUGAUUCUUGUUUUUUGAAAAUGUUUCAUGAGAAUGAGAGGAUUUCUUUUGUGAAAAAUUUGCAUGUGGACUAUUUGUAGUACCAACCCAAGCCAUUAAUUGAGAAAGGGAAAUUGAUUUGUGGUGUGUCUUGAAAUAAGAGCCUCUUGUGUUUUUUAUUUUCUUUACUUGAGGACCAACAAAGUUUCUAAGUUGUGGGGGUGUUGAUGAGUGGUGGAUUUCCACUCAUUUGAGGCUCUUUUCGUAGUUAUUUUGGCUUGUUUUAGUUUAGAAUUGGUGCUUUUAAUGAGUUUUUUUUUCAUAUUUGCACGAAAAUGAAAUCUACAGUUGAUUUAGGAGAUAUUUGAAGAAACCAAGUGAACUUGAGGCAAAAAGAGGUCAAGAGCUGAAUAUGCAAUUUUUGGCAGGGAAAGUACCCUUCGUGAAUGCAUUUGUUUGGUAUUUUUAUUGACGACGACCUCUUACUCUUUUAACUUAUUUUGAGGGUAAUUUGAGUGUUAUCAAUUAGUUAAGAUUUUUGUAUAAAUUUCUAAACAUGUGUUAAUAUUACUUCCUAGUGAUGCAAAUCUGCAGCUUCUUUUCACUGUUGUGGUGAAUGCACCAUCUGAAACAGUUCGAUCAAAAUGCGCUGUUGCUCCUGGAGAUUUGGCAGUUCAUUUUCCUAAUCUGUUAGAGCCAUGGACGGAGUUAUGUAUGCAUGAUUACGAGAUCCAUCAGUUUCUGUGCGGAAGAAUGUUGUAUUGGUUCUUUCUCAGAUUAUACUGAAUGACAUGAUGAAGGUUCGGCUGGAUUAUCAAACAUUUAUACAUACAUAAAGAUAGCAGCUUUGUCGCCUUUUCUUUUCUUGGAUUAAUUUUCAUUUUGUGCUUUAAAUUUGUGCAGAGUCUCCUGCUGAGUUCUUUGCAGAUAACAAAUACAUUGCUGGUUUUGACAAUGUGAGUUUCAUUUAUGUUUAGGAUGUCUUAUAAUUUUAACCUUUUUCUAAUGUUAUAAUCACACAUUAGUUUGAUGAUUAAGGAUGUCAAUGAAGUAAUAUUUCCCUGUUGGCAUUUGAGUGAUAUAAAGAAGCAGAAUACAAAAAUGCAGGAAACACCAAAGGAUUAGUGGAAAAGAAAAAUGAAUGCAAUCAAAGGGUAAUUGCAAAAAAAGAGAAACAAAGUUGCAUAGUCUCCAUAGAACUAUAAAUGGAAUUUUUAGUUUUUAAGAAAAUAUUGCUUUGUUAAUUUAUUUUGAUAAAGUAAAGUGAAGUUAAUAUUCCUCUUGGUUAAUAGCCGUUAUGUUGGAGAGCAGCAGCUAGUACCUUAAAAUUAAGUAAAGUUUAGGUACCUUUACAAAAGAAAAGGUUGAAAAAUUAACCUUCAUAUGCCCCGUGGUUAGCAUAUAAUCAGACUGUUGAUAACUUAUCAAUGAAUCCUUAUACCCCCUGUUGAAGAGAUGUUUCUAUAUUCAUUAUGAUAGUAGAGUAGGUGGAGUUUUUUUUUUGGAACUGGUUUCUUGUAGAGUAGCUGGAUGUUUUAAGGUCACACAUUGUUGACAUUAGCCAACAAAAGAGAAUAGACCACAUUGAAGGGCAUGUUGAAGGCAUUAAAUGAAAUAGGCUCUUCCUUUUUUAAUAGCUCAAGAUUUUCAUGAGGUGGAACUUCAACAAUGAUACACUAAAUGCGCUGUUAAUCAAGUUAGUCUUUCCAAAUUUUCAGCCUGGGAAAUGUCUUUACAUUACUAUGAGAGAACUUGUUGAGAAUGCUGAUUCUGCUGAAUCCAUCUCCGAGCUUCCAGUUGUAGAGAUAACCAUGUAAGUGAUUGUUUUGUCUAUUUUAGAUAACUACUUCAAUGAGCUAACAGAGAUCCAUUGAUGGGAACCUCUCUUCAAAGCUUAGUGUUGUUUUUGGUUUUGCUUAUGUAGUGAAGAGAUUGGCAGAUGUAAAUUUAAUUCCAUGAUUGGUCUGGCUGACCAUGAACGUAGAGAUGAAGCCCUGUAUGAUGAUUUUGAGACAUCAAAGGCUCGUGAGGUGUGUAAGCAAUGAUUUACUCUCACUUAGAUGGCAUUGUGAUUUAUAUCUUAUGCUCACUGUUUGACAUGAUCUGUUUCUCUUUGUUCUUCUAUAUGCCGACUCUGCUCUCAGUAUGCAAGACAAGAAUAGUACAUUGUUGAAUUAAAUCAAUUUGGCAAGUUAGUGGAAGGUUAUUCUUCCCCAAAAACUUUAAUUACUGUACUUUGUUUCUAAUAUAGGAUAAUGGAAGAGGAAUGCCACAUGAUGAUAUCCUGAAUAUGUUUAGACGAGGUUUGAUGUGCUUGCCAUUUCCAGUUAUUUUACCAGUGGAAACUUUUGCAUGUUCCCGCUUUUUGUUAUGUUCCAACUUCUUUCAUUUUUCUUGACCUUCAAUUAGGAGGAAGAAAGGUGUUUAGAUCCAAAUGAAAACUUUUGACUAUUGUAACUCUGUAUUACUACACGUGAUCCUUUUUCUAAGAAAGUAUGCUUCUGCAGUUUUGUCUGGAACAAAGUAUGGAUUGAAACAGACACGUGGGAAAUUUGGUCUUGGUGCAAAGAUGGUACGUUGAAGAAUUGGUCUUGACCUGAUUAUCUGACGUUCUUCUGAUUCUACUUUUUUGUGUCUUAGUUAUUUGUGUUAUAUUCCCUGUCUUGUUUCUGUUCUCUAUUAUAGCAGGUGGUUGUGAGGGUGGUGGAUUAUGUCUUCGGAAGCCACAAAUUCGCCUAAACCUUGCUCAUACUAUCAGACUCAAGUAUGUUAUUCCAGUCUACAAGGAUCUAAUCUGUCCGAAACGACGUCCGAGACAAUGCAAAGCAACAAAGUUUGAGAGUCUAAGGCAACACUGGUCUAUCCUAGGCUAAGGUUGGACAUGCAUCAGAAAGCAAGUUCAAGUAAUUCACAUAGCAUGCACAAACCCAAACCACCCAACUAGCAAGGUACUAUGCCCGAAAUAAUGCCAAUCAAACCUAAAAAGGGUGAAAUCAUUGUCUAUUUGGGAAGGUUUUGACUUGGUUGGUACUAAGAGCAUAGUCAUGCAUGUGAAUAGUAUUGAGCAUACCUCUCUGUUUUUUAAAGGUUGAACAUUUUAUGAAUGAUUUUAUGACAACUCUUUUUGUGACUUUUGGUUCGUUAGCGGUAAAAAUGUUCAAUACUACUUGUAUUUUGAAAAGAAAGUAAGAUAUUGAACCAUCUUGAUUGAUUUGCAGGCCAUGUGUGGUGAGUUGUUGAAUAAUGCCUUGUGUGCGCUUUUGUCACCUAGAACUUGCCCGGUUGGUCUUGAUUGAGUUUUGUUGGAAAAAUGAUCUUAGGCUUUUUUUAUGUUCUUGAAGUCCACUUGGCCUAAGAAUCCCACCUUUGCCUAAUAUAUCCUUAGUUGUCCCCUUUGAGCCUAAAGUAAGUCCUUUUUGAAAAAGUAACCCUCUUUUGAACCCUUCCCUCCUUGAACUUGAGGUUGCGAAAGUUGAGGCUAAAAGCUUAAGUUGGGGGUGUUAUGAAAAACUCAUUAAGUUGGGGGUGUUAUGGAAAAUUCAUUGAAGGGAUGCUUACCUCAUGUGGGCUUGAUAUAAAAAAAAAAGGAAAAAAAAUGAAGAGAGAAAUUAAGGGAUGUAUGGAAAGAGUCUUAAAGAAAGAAAACCUUUGAAAAAGAAAGAAAGAAAAUGAAUAAAUGAGACUUGAAUCCUCCAAAAGUUGAAAAAAUGGUUGCAUGUGGGGCGUCUAGAGUGGAAAUAUGAAAGAAAAAUGAGAAAUAGUGUGGAAUGCAUGGGUUUGAAAAGUGAAGAAAGUAUUAUGAGUUGUUGUAUAAUGUUCAAGGAGGGUGUAGUCACUUCUACCUAAAUGAUAUCCUAACCUUCCCUAAGCCUAUAUUACAAGCUUAACAAAGUCCUUUGAGAUUUCUAACCAAAUGGAGUUGAGUCAAUGUUGAUUGAAGAUAUGGACAAGUCUAUGGUGUGACGUUUGUGUGCAUGAGAUGAUUCUUUGUGAGUGUGAGUCUUGCAUCUUUGUCCCUUGUCUUAUUUAUAUGUGUGUGUGGUUUUGGGACACUUCUUUCUUUUGAGGGCAUGUUAGUUGACAAAGUGGUGAUUUUGAAAAUUCCUAAUUGAGUCAAGUGAGCAUGUGAAAUAUUUCUUCACGAAAACCAGAAAAAAAAUCGUGUCUCCUUUCUCCUUCCAGUACAGUGAACCCAUGCGACUAAACGAUCACGUCAACAUCAGUAGCAGCUCCAAACACCAACAGUGUCCACUGUCCUCCUUUUCUGCAGCAGUCGCGUCCCCAUCCCCCUUUUCCCCUUUUUCAGAAAUUGCCCAUCCCUUUCACUGUUUCCUUGUAAAAGAGCAUAUGAAUUCAAAAUUCCAUCCCCCUAAAUCGCCCCAAUUUUCCCCAGAAAUAGUUCUCUAUGCUCAAGUGAUUUGGGGGCAUGUUUUUUAAGUUGGAUUUUGAGGGUAAGAAUUUACAGAGAAAAAGAAUUGCAAAGCUAUAAAAGACAUAAGAAAUACCUAUUAGUUAGAUAUAUUUUCUCCUUCUUGUUCGUGGGUUGCGGGGGAUUCGACGAAUUUCUCGAAAAUCUUGCUGUGGUGGUGAUAUCGCUCGUCUUAGCUCGUCGCUGUCCCAGAACGCUGCAUUUCAAAAGGUAAUAUUUGUUUCUGUUCGUGUCUUUGGUUUCCUGAUGUGCUUGCCGUUUUAUUCUACUGUAUGAGGCGUUUAAAUGUUAGAAUGUUGAAUUUGUUUCGACUUACUGUUGAUUGCAAAGCAUUGAUAUAAGCUCCUUUGUCGGUUCGAGUGUCUUUUUUUUGGGUUGUUUUGCUCGAAGUCUUAAUGUUUUCCGUAUGGCGCUGAGUUGGUUUUCUUCCUUUUCUUCUUGUUUCACUGUUGUUUUGUUUGGUUGACUACGAAGUUAUGAGUCAGUCAUGUAGUUCGGAAUCAUCUUCUAUAGGUGAUUUCGUUUGCUUUAUUCGAUAUAUGAAGGUUGUCUUCAUUCUCUUGUUACUUCAAAUAGGGUAAUCGCAUGAGUUGAAUGCUUUACUGCCUCACCCUAUGUUCUUAAGGUUAGAUGUUGGAAUCUAUAUUAGUUGUUAGCUUUCUAAAUUUUACCGAGUUUUGCUUGUAUGUUUCACCUUGAAUCAUGCUAAAAGAAGAAGAUUUCUUGUCUAUAUCCGAGUUGGUCUCGACUGCCCCCUCCUUUUUUCCCCUUUCUUCACAGUGGCUUGGGGUAUAUUGUCCCAUUAUCUGACAUGCCUUGUUUUGAUCGAAUCUGUGUCUCCUUUUUUCCUAUUUUAGUCAGAAAUUGCUUGUUAUUCGUAUUUGAUUAAUUCAAAGAGAUGAGACUAUAGCCUUCCUGGUCUUAGCUUAUCUUAGUUUGCAUUUUCCUUUAGCUGGAUUGCCUAUUUCCUCUAAUUUCCCUUGUCUUCUCUCCCUCUGUUAAGCUUAUUAUUUUGAUGAUAAGCUAUGUGCAAUUGAUGAAACAUAAUGCAAUUUGGACCUUUCCAGUUAGUUAUUUUGCUCCCUGCCAUUGAUCCUAACCUGUGAUGUCAAUUGUGUUUCUUUCUUUUGUAUGAUCUCAAGUUAUAUAAUGUGUAUGCUUCACAUGUUGUGACAAGAAUAUAAAUGGUUAAAUUACUACAUGUUGUUUGAUUGUCUGGUUUUCUUUAAGGCAUUAGAAGUGAGUUGAUUGGGGAUAGUUACAUGUUCUUAUUCUUGCCCAUCAUUUGAAUCUUAAGGACAUUGCGAUUAUUUAGAAAAUGCUUCAUCUUUUGCUUCAUUAUUCUGCUAUAAGCUUCUAUGUCAUUCUAGUUUAGUUUCUGGAAUUAAGAGCUUAGCAAGGUGUAGCUUAAUAUGUAAUGUUAUAAGGAUAGUUGGCUCUAUAUAAAUCUAUUACUUUGUUGGUUCAUUUGUGAAGUUCGCUAGUUUUAAUAGUAUAGGUAUAAAUCUGAGUUUCAUCUUUGAUCAAUUUUAUUUAUUUAUUUGUGUCCAGAUUUUAAUUUAGGAUUGAGUUUUCUUUUCAAGUUGCUAAUUCUUUUUUUUUUUUUGCGAGCUUACCACUACGAAGUCCACUGGUUCUUGCAUAUCUGUUGGGCCUUGAAGACCCAAUUUUAUCUUUUCUCGAGUCAGCCCAUAUUGUUUUGUCGAAAAGAUGCUGAUGAACGGGUCCUCGGAGGCUAAAUACAGGGCUAGAAGUUGAAUUCCGAGUGUACGGAAGUCCAAAAGUGGACUGUAUAUGGUUUUAUACACUGAUAUACAACUGGUGUAUACAAAAACGAAAUUGGGUUAAACCCCGAAAGCAGCAGCAAAUUUGGCCCAAGAAAGGUCCAAAUUCAAUUUCUCAUUUACUCUUAAAUAUUUAAUUGUCAUUAUUUAUUGUUUGUUCUUUUUUCUUUAUUUAUUAUUAUUAACUCGAACUUUGGAAUUGUUAAUUAACUUAGUUGAAUUCCCCUAAAGAUGAACUAUUUUUCGUUGUUACUUUUAGUAAAUUUUAUUUUAUCACUCUUUAUUUCUUAUUUAAAUCAAUUGUGUUAAGUUGAAACUCACUUGUAUUCAAUUAAUUUUAGAUAGCUUCUUGGCUUGAUCGAUCAAAUUGGUUUAAGGUAUGAUAUUUAAAAGAGAAACUUGCAUAAAUGACUAUAGUUUAUGGGUUAUCAUAUUUCUCUAGCUAUAAUUACCAUAAAUGCUUUGUGUAGCUAUAAUUAUUAUGAUAAAAUCGUUAUAUUUCAUGUAUUCAAAGUUUAUUUAUUUUGUAUACUAGGAUAUAAUCCAAAAUUAGAUGGCAUUAAAAAUGACAGAAUCCUUUUUUAAAUAUGGCAAUGCCUUAAAUCACGCCAAAUUGCAUUGUCAUACUACCCAUUAUUAAACAACCAUCUAUAUUUGGUUGGAUCUGUUUUAAGAUUAUUUAGUGUGUAAACGCUUUAAAUAUUUAAAAAGUAGUAUCAAUUUUUUGUAAAUAAUACAAAAUAUUUCUGAACAUCUUAUAUUGAUUUGGGUUAAGCUUUGUCUUCAAAUCAUGGAUUAUAUUGUUAUUUAUAGAUUUACAUAUACGGAGCUUCAAUUAGAAAUAUAACACAUGAAAUUCAAUUCACUGCAUAUACAUAAAAAAAAAAAUAGAAUACACAACAAUAUAAUAAUGAUAAACUUGUAAUGAUACAUGAAUAUAUUUGUAUAAAUAAAUACAGUGAAUAUAACAGGUAUACCAACUAAAUAUAUAUUCCUAUCAUAUAAAAAUGGAUACAAUAAAUACAAUUCCCGAUAUAUUGAAUAAUCAUACGGUGAAUACACUUAUACACCUAUUGUUUGAAUAUGGAAUACAUAUAUUUGUUUGAUAACUAAAUGUAUCCAUAUAUAAUAAGAGCAACUUUCACAUAUAGCAAACAUAAAAAUCAUAUUUAUAUGUUAUAACUAUAGUUUGCAUAAUUGCGCUCCAUAACAAAUUUUAUGUUUGUUAUGGAGCUUUUGAUUUGUAUAAUUCGCUAGAUACAUCCAUUUUUAUACAAAUUGUUCAGUUUUGUAUAAAUUCAUUUAUACAUCGAAUUUGUAUAAUAAGAGAUGUAUUUGUAUAAUUAUAAGUGUAUAGGACGAAAAUAUAUGUAUUUGUAUUUGUAUAUAUACUUUUCUCUCGUUUUAUACAAACACAAACGCAUUUUAUACAUUUUAUUUGAUUCGGUAUGCAAUUAACCAUUUUCGGUAUACAAUAAGCUAUUUUAUACAUUUCAGUAUGAAAUGUAUAAAAUGCGUUUGUGUUUGUAUAAAACGAGAGAAAAUUGUAUAUACACAUGCAAAUACAUAUAUAUUCGUCCUAUACACUUAUAAUUAUACAAAUACAAAUCUUAUUAUACAAAUUAUAAUGUAUAAAUGAAUUUAUACAAAACUGAACAAUUUGUAUAAAAAUGGAUGUAUCUAGCGAAUUAUACAAAUCAAAAGCUCCAUAACAAAUAUAAAAUUUGUUAUGGAGCGCAAUUAUGCAAACUGUAGUUAUAACAUAUAAAUAUGAUUUUUAUGUUUGCUAUAUGUGAAAGUUGCUCUUAUUAAAUUCCUUCACACCAUUCUUUUGCAUUUUUAAAAAAAAAACUUUAAACGUAAUUUUCAAUUGAAAUGAUUUUGGGACUUGCCCACAAUAUCUAUUUUAUCUUAGGAAAAAUUAAAGUAAUAUAUCAAAAAAGAUUAAUUUUUUUUUUUUAAAUGAGUUUGAAGAAAUUGCAGAUAGUGCUACUAAAAAAAGAAUUCUUAAAAUUUUGUGUCUUAAUUUCAUAAAUUGAUUAUGAUGAUUCUAUUAUUAAAGUUCUAAUGUUAAUCUAUUUUUACAAACUUGAUUUAUUUUUAGCGCCUUUAAUUUAUUUCAAAUGUUUUAAUCUUUAUUUUGACAAAAUUAACUAAAUUAUUUUAAUUGCUUUAGUUCUUUUCCUUUCAAGUGAUUUUUUAAAAUAUUACAUAUUUAUAUAUAUAAAAAUGAAAUAAAAAUAAAAGAAGUAAGCAAGCAAAAUAAAGUAAAAUAAUCUUUCUUUACUUGUUCAUUUCUUUUCAAAGUUAGUUAAAAAUAUUUUGGUCAAGUCAUAGGAUAACCACGUAUUAGCGGGCACUUCAAAUGUUCUAAAAACCUUCUUGAAGUGUAAAUGAAAAUCUCUUAUCCAUUUUUCUAAAUUUAUAAAGACUUAGUCUAUUAGAGUCUUUUAAAAUUAAGUUUUCUUAAUUUCUUUAAAUUAAAAAAUUAAGUGGCGACUCUUUUCUUAGUGAUUUCUCAAAUUGUUUAUUGAACAUUUCAAAAAAUGAUUUUUCGAAAGAUUGUAAAAUUACGACACAACAAAGUGUAUUAUGUUAAUUUUUUUGUUUUGAAUUUAGAACUUAGGUUAUCUAUUAAGUCUUCUGACGACAUUAUAUUUACUAGUUUUUUGGCACGUGCGUUGCACGUGAUUAUCAAUUCAGAAAAUACAUGUUAUGGUAAAUAGUAUUGCUUAUUUUAAGUGGAGAUUUGAAUAAUAAGCUUAACACAAAAUAAUAUUGUAGAUUAUUCUGUGAAUGUUCAAUGUUCAACGUGGAUUGUCAUAUAAAUUUCUUUUUCACGCGAACCUAAGAAGAUGGUGAAUGAAAAAAUUUAUUAGUUAAAUACAAUAGUGUAUAUAUAUUUAUUUCAAUUUGAUGAGGUUCAAUCAUGUAAUUAGUCGUAUCUCACUAAAAUUACCUUAUAGACGGCAUUUGUUGUGUACUUUUCUUGUAAUUUAAUUAAAAUAUGCUAAAUUGAAAAAUAGAUAUCAAUUAUUUUUUAUAAUAUUAGUUAAGGACAUAUGUUUAUUAAUUAAUAUAUUAUCAAAAGCCAAUCUACGUCUUAAAUAUUCCAUUUUAAUAUCAUUUAUAAAGGCUCUUGUUUGUCUAAUAUAAAUUUUUAAUUAUAGAUAAUUUAUUUUUAUUUUUAAAAUUCAAUAAACCCUUAUGAUUAUACUUGUGCAACCAAACACUACAUUGGUAAUAACACUAUAAUUAUAUUGUGGCAACAAACAAGUUAAUGUAAUUACUAGGUUGUGUAAUUACUAGGUUGUGUAAUUACUAGGCUGAUAAUUAUUGUUGAUACCCAAUUUUGACCAUCUACAUUAUAGAUUAAUCAUCGAGUUUCUUUAAUUUUUCAAAUGAUUUAAAAUAAUUAGUUUUAUGAAAUUCAGUUAUUUUUAUAUAAUUUUGUCACUUUUUGGAAUUUAAUUUAUAUAUAUAUAUUAUAAUUUUGUAUAUAAUAAGUAAAUUUUAUAAACAUUUGAAAAUCAUCUCAAAAGAUGUUAAAUUUUUAGUUAAAUAUUUCAUUAAAUUAGUUUAGUUUAAAUUAUGGUUAUAAUUUUGAGUCAAAUAGUUUAUAUUUAGGUUUAAUAUUUUAUUUCGUUAAGAUUAAGAAGAUUGAUAGUUAAUUAUAUUAAUUUGUUCUAUUAAAAUUCUAGUCGAAUUCACCAAACCAACUCAAUUUGGCUACAAUUUUAGCUUCAUUUGGCUAAAUUGUUAAUUUAUUUGGCUAUACCUUGAUUACAAAUCUAACCCCUCUCUUGGCCAGUUUUUUUAGCAUGUUUAUAUAUUCAAUCAGCUUUGCCUAUCCCAAGUAUUAUUGGUUGAGCAUGAAGAGAUAAGGGAGGACGUGGAGUCCCAAAGUUCAUUGAUCCCUGUCACACCUAGGGAUCAUGUGUUCCAAGCUAACCCCUCUAAUUAUUCUCCUUCCCAUUCUAAUUCCUUUCUUUUGCAGGAUUCUAAUGAAGCCCUUUUGAUGGGACUGCCAAGUAGAGUGCCCCCUCUCCGGGGUAUUGAGCACCAAAUUGACUUCGUGCCGGGCUCACAUUAGCCAACCAAAUCGGCUUAUCGAAGUAAUCCGGGAGAAAUCGAAGAGCUACAAAGGCAAGUUAAGGAACUCCUUAACAAGGGCUAUGUGAGGUAAAGUACAAGUCCAUGCGUUGUUCCGGUUCUAUUGGUUUCAAAGAAAGAUGAAGCAUGGCGCAUGUGUGUUGAUUGGUGGGCCAUCAACAAAAUCAUCAUAAGGUAUUGUCAUCCUAUCCCUAGAUUAUUAUAUUUUGUUAAGAUUAAGAAGGUGGUUAACUGGGGGAAAAAAUCAAAGAAAGAUACAACAUCUAAGAAAGCGUCCCAAUUCUUUUUGAAGAUGCGGGCCCUACGAAAAUAAAAUAAUCAUCAAAAAGUUAGAUUCAAAACUAAAACUAAGUAAUAAUACUCUAAUUAGCUAGAAUUUUCCGUCAAAAUCAUGAAACUUCUAGUUCAAACACAUGCAAAACUAAAAUAGAAAAUAUAUCUAGAUGAACCCUUCUUCACUCAUGCUUGUCAUAUGCUCAUGAAUAUCGUCCAAUCAAGUCUUUGUUCUUUUAUUCUUAAAUAGGAACCCAAUGAAGAAGCUUGAAUGAGACAAUUCAGAUAGAGGAGACAGACGUAUAAAGUAAAAUUUGGCAAAAAAAGACAAAGUAAAGGGAUUAAACUUUUGAUGCCUUUUCCCCUACUUCAUCGAGUGAACGAAGCUGCUCUAAAUAAGACAAACUUCAGAGGAAAAUUUGGUUAAGGUGUAGGAGUUGAGUAAUUGUAAGACAGUUGUGUCAAAGUACAUACACGAGGCUAUAAAGUACAAUUGUUAAAGCAUUUUGUACAGACACCUACAACUGUAUUCCUACAACCUCUCAUUUUUUGGCUUAUAAUUGUUUGGCAAAGAGAAGUGUGCACACUAGUAUUCAUCAAUCAAUAUAUAUAUUUGGAAAUCAUCUCAAAAGAUUUUUAAUUCUAAGUUAAAUAUUUCAUUAAAUUAGUUUAGUUUAAAUUAUGGUUAUAUAAUUUUGAGUCAAUUGGUUUAUUAUAUUUAAUUUUAUUAAGAUUAAUAAGAAGGUGGUUAGUUAAUUUGUUGUAUUAAAAUUGUAGUCGAACGAACUCAAUUUGACUAAAUUGUUAAUUUAUAUGACUAUUCCUUAAUUACAAAUUUCUUGCCAUGAAAAGGCCAAAAUUGGGCCAGCCCAAUUCCUGUAAAACCUAGCCCAACGUUCACAAUACCUACAGAUAGAACAAAUGGCACAACAUGUAAUCUCUUUUUAUUUAUUGGCAAUAUUUAUAGAGAAAAUUUUACAUAUAGCAAAUAAAAAAUUGCUAAUUGUAUGCUAUAGCAAACUUUGUAAAAUUGCAGUCCGUAGCAACAGUAUAGUUUGCUAUGGACGUGUCUUUCUGUAUAUUCGCUUGUCAUUUUUUUUUAUAUACAUUUUGAUAGUUUAAAAAAGAAAAGGCGUUAAUUUCGGUUUUAAAAAAAAGGAAAAAAAUCACUGAAGUCACGCACGUUCUGUUCCAUUCGAAUUCCCUUCCGUCUUCGUCAUCUUCAACAGUAAGAACUCCAUUGUAACUCAAUUUAGNNNNNNNNNNNNNNNNNNNNNNNNNNNNNNNNNNNNNNNNNNNNNNNNNNNNNNNNNNNNNNNNNNNNNNNNNNNNNNNNNNNNNNNNNNNNNNNNNNNNGGACAAUGACAAUUGUUACGUUGAUUAUACAAUUGAGAGGGUGGUUUUUAAAGAAAGUUCAUCGUAUGAGGAGUUGUAUAAUGUUAUUGCAAUGCAACUCGGUGUUGAUACAAAUGUGAUUAAGCUGAAAAUUGAGUAUANNNNNNNNNNNNNNNNNNNNNNNNNNNNNNNNNNNNNNNNNNNNNNNNNNNNNNNCAAUGUUGAUUCACAACGACAUGGGUGUUAGAGUGUAUAUCAUGCUUAAAAAGGCUGCAGAUGACUUCAACAAGUAUCCAAUUUGUAUAAGCAAAAUGGAUAAUAGUAGCAAUAUCACUGAACUGUGUGAAAGUUCAAAUCAGGAGAAUGAUAUGGUUACAUCAAUUUGUAAUGAUGGUAUUGCUGAUUUUGAGACUAUGCAGCUGUCAAUUGGUGAAUUGGUAGAGCCGCUUUGUGUCUUGGGGUCAGGGAGCUGCGAUGGAGUCAUUUCAAAUCCUUGUAAUAAGUGCGUGGAGAUUGACCAGGUGUAUAAGAACAAAGCCACUUUGAAAUCUGUGAUGAAAAAUUAUGCAAUUGAAAAUAGAUUUCAAUAUAGAACUGUGAGGUCAAAUGCAAUCAGGUAACUAGUUUAUACAAACAAAUACAUUAGUGUUUAUGGUGUUUUAGUUAUUUGUAUAUUGAUAUGUUGUGCUGUAUUUGCUGAUGUAGUUAUACGCUGGAAUGUAUUUCUGAUGAAUGUGAGUGGUUGAUGAAAGCAUCAAAUAUCAGCAAGUCUAGAAUGUUUAGGAUCCAAGCAUUUUUAAUACAGAUCAUACUUGUCCUUUGAAGGAUAAAGUGUAUUCACAAAAACAUGCAACAAACAUGCUGAUUGGUGGGAUCGUUAAGCCUAAGCUUGUUGAUCACAAGAGAAAAUAUACACCUUCUGAUAUUCGGAGUGAUGUAAAGAUAUAUUUGGGAGUUGAUGUAAAUUACUCAUUGGCUUGGAGGGCUAAAGAAAAGGCUCUGAUUUCAUUGAGGGGUACCACAGCUGCAUCUUACAACAAACUUCCAGCAUACUUGUAUAUGAUGGAUAUUACAUAUACAGGCUCACAUAUACGUCUAAAGAAAACAGACAAAUAUGAGUUCUUGUAUCUUUUUGUUGCAUUGAAUAAUUGUAUACAAGGCUUUGAUCAUUGUAGGCCUGUCAUAGUUGUUGAUGGAAGUCACCUAAGAGGACCGUAUAAUGGAACAUUUGUGGCUGCAAGCACAAUGGAAGGAGCAAGUAUGUUUCAUUGUGUUUUUGAAUGUAUAUUUUUGAUUUUAUGUUAAUUUGUAUGUAAAUAAAAAUGUAGGACAUAUUUGGUUUGGUUAUUUUUCAAUUUGGAUUUGAUCUCUUGCAUUGCGUUGGAUUUAGACAUUGAACCUGCAACCUCCCCAAAAUCCUGAGUUAAACCCAAGGAAAACGAUGGGCGUUCAACACUAUUUUCGACAUGCAAGGGUAUACCUCUUGUGAAUCUUUUAGAUGGAGACUGGACAUCCAUUGUUUGAAGGAAAACUCUGUAUGGAUUAUGAACUGAUGUGAAAAAUAGCCUGAAAAAACUGAAAAAAAUAGACAAAAAUUUAAAUUAAUCGAUUGAGAUAAGUUUUGGCGGUACCUGAAAUUUUUGAAGGGAUUUUGAAACUGCGAUUGAAAACGUGCUGGUGGAGAUUUGAAAUUUCACACUAAUUUUAGGGAGAAAAUGAAGGAAAUAAGAGAUAUAAACGAGAAGAAGAUAUUGUAUAAAUGGAAGAGAAUAACGUCAACUUUUUUUUUUACUUAUACACAUCGGUGGGGCCCAUUAAUAGCAAACUGAUCGAGACUUUGCUCCUUAAAGGAAAUAAAUGAAACGGUAGCUACUGUAUUUAUUUUACAUUAAUAGUUUGCCAUUAUGUACAAUUAUCCCUUGUUUUUAAUACGAAUAAAUGACUAAUUGCGUGGUAAGAUGAUUAAAGUUUAAACACGUAUAUAUAGAAUUUCAUUUCGUCAAAAUAUACAUUGCAAGAUAAACAUGCUUUUACAAUUGAUAUGAAUGUACAAUAUAAGCUAUGAUGAGUUAAGUCAAAUACAAAAUUACUUUUAGCUAAGAUUCUUACGUGUUAAGAAGUAUAUGUUAAAAUAUUGAAUUUCGAAUCAAUAACUCAAUGAUAUCUCAAAUUCAUAUAAUUCAAACUGUGAAUCUAUCUAAUCCUUAAAACAUUAUCAAUUAUUCAGAAUUCAAAUGGUCCAUAAAUUCAAUGAUUAUAUUAUUAAAUUCAAAUUGUAAAUCUGCUUAUACUUAAAAUGUUAUCAAUUACACCUAGAAAAAAAAAAGAAAUCAAUUAGAAAUAUAGUUUUGACGUGUACUAUAUGCUUAAUGUAAUCUUGGUCUAGUCAUAAAGUGAUCAAUGAAUAAAUGGAAAAAUGCCAAAGUUUAAAGAUUAUGAGUUAAUCUCUUGUACUUUAAUUUUUAAGAUAAAAGGAACAGUAAUUUUGGCUUAAAAGACAAGUAAUCAUUUCUUAUAUCCAAAAGAAAGACCAAAAGGAAACAAGUAGUACACCCUCGGCUUUAAUAUUUAUUAUAUGGUCAUAGAAGUUAUAAUUUAAAAAGUAAGAUCAUUGUAAUUAAAUAAUUAAAAUCUUUGGAAGGCAAUACAUAAAAUGAGGCCACAUAAGUUCUACGAAGUUACGUGCCUAAUAUCAACAUUUUAGUUUGACUUUGAAAAUAGUACUUAUAUACCUCUCAUUUUAAGUGACUUUCUUGAUUAGUUUUUUAAUUUGUUAAAAAGAGCAGAAGAGAUAUUUCUAUAUUUGAUGUUAAGAUUAAGAAGUUUGGUAGUUAAUUAUAUCAAUUUGUUCUAUUAAAAUUCUAGUCGAAUUCACCAAACCAACUCAAUUUGGCUACAAUUUUAGCUUCAUUUGGCUAAAUUGUUAAUUUAUUUGGCUAUACCUUGAUUACAAAUCUAACCCCUCUCUUGGCCAGUUUUUUUAGCAUGUUUAUAUAUUCAAUCAGCUUUGCCUAUCCCAAGUAUUAUUGGUUGAGCAUGAAGAGAUAAGGGAGGACGUGGAGUCCCAAAGUUCAUUGAUCCCUGUCACACCUAGGGAUCAUGUGUUCCAAGCUAACCCCUCUAAUUAUUCUCCUUCCCAUUCUAAUUCCUUUCUUUUGCAGGAUUCUAAUGAAGCCCUUUUGAUGGGACUGCCAAGUAGAGUGCCCCCUCUCCGGGGUAUUGAGCACCAAAUUGACUUCGUGCCGGGCUCACAUUAGCCAACCAAAUCGGCUUAUCGAAGUAAUCCGGGAGAAAUCGAAGAGCUACAAAGGCAAGUUAAGGAACUCCUUAACAAGGGCUAUGUGAGGUAAAGUACAAGUCCAUGCGUUGUUCCGGUUCUAUUGGUUUCAAAGAAAGAUGAAGCAUGGCGCAUGUGUGUUGAUUGGUGGGCCAUCAACAAAAUCAUCAUAAGGUAUUGUCAUCCUAUCCCUUUCGUAAGGUAUUGCCAUCCUAUCCCUAGAUUAUUAUAUUUUGUUAAGAUUAAGAAGGUGGUUAACUGGGAAAAAAAUCAAAGAAAGAUACAACAUCUAAGAAAGCGUCCCAAUUCUUUUUGAAGAUACGGGCCCUACGAAAAUAAAAUAAGCAUCAAAAAGUUAGAUUCAAACCUAAAACUAAGUAAUAAUAUUCUAAUUAGCUAGAAUUUUCCGUCAAAAUUGUGAAACUUCUAGUUCAAACACAUGCAAAACUAAAAUAGAAAAUAUAUCUAGAGGAACCCUUCUUCACUCAUGCUUGUCAUAUGCUCGUGAAUAUCGUCCAAUCAAGUCUUUGUUCUUUUAUUCUUAAAUAGGAGGCCAAUGAUGAAGCUUGAAAGAGACAAUUCAGAUAGAGGAGACAGACGUAUAAAGUAAAAUUUGGCAAAAAAAGACAAAGUAAAGGGAUUAACCAUGACUUUUGAUGCCUUUUCCCCUACUUCAUCGAGUGAAUGAAGCUGCUCCAAAGAAGACAAACUUCAGAGGAAAUUUUGGUUAAGGUGUAGGAGUUGAGUAAUUGUAAGACAGUUGUGUCAAAGUACAUACACGUGGCUAUAAAGUACAAUUGUUAAAGCAUUUUGUACAAACACCUACAACUGUAUUCCUACAACCUCUCAGUUUUUGGCUUAUAAUUAUUUGGCAAAGAGAAGUGUGCACACUAGUAUUCAUCAAUCAAUAUAUAUAUUUGGAAAUCAUCUCAAAAGAUUUUUAAUUUUAAGUUAAAUAUUUCAUUAAAUUAGUUUAGUUUAAAUUAUGGUUAUAUAAUUUUGAGUCAAUUAGUUUAUUAUAUUUAAUUUUAUUAAGAUUAAUAAGAAGGUGGUUAGUUCAUUUGUUGUAUUAAAAUUGUAGUCGAACGAACUCAAUUUGACUAAAUUGUUAAUUUAUAUGGCUAUUCCUUAAAAUUACAAAUUUCUUGCCAUGAAAAGGCCCAAAAUUGGGCCAGCCCAAUUCCUGUAAAACCCAGCCCAACGUUCACAAUACCUACAGAUAAUACACAAUUCCAAAUUGGGCCAGCCUUACCGACCCAAUUCGUGUAAAACCCAGCCCAGCCCACAUUCAACUCCAACCAUUUCACGUCUAUACACUACAAAAAUCGAUAAUUCCAACAUCACAGAGGACAGCUACACUUCCAACAGUGUAACGUUCGCCAUUCCAGUCGCGUGGUCUUCCUCCUUCACCUCGUACAGCAGGUGUCCUCGUACGCUUAGAGCCGUCCGAAUCAAGAUUCGGUUCUUAGGGUACUAAUACGGUGGACUUUGAAACGCAGUUGAUUUGUGGGCAGAACUCAUAGCUGCUGAACAAGAACACUUUGAUCGUCCCUCUCAACAAAUUCAAGAACAAAAAUAUUGCUGUUGUAUAUCGGCGGCAAAAGCCCCAUAGUAUUACCCCCAAAGAUUCUGAAGGGUUCUCUAUUUUUCCCAUUACCAAGAAUUCUAUUUUGUUGGUUUGGUGGUUCGUUGAAGGUUUUGAACUUCUUACUUUGAUUUGUUUUGUUUUCAGGAGGCAAUCGACUUUGAAUUCGGGUAAUGAAAAUCGCCUGAGUUUUCUACCUGUUGAAUCAGUUGGAAUCGUUCCCUUUCCACCAGGUUUUGUCUUUUUCCCUAAUUUCUGUUUGUCCCUCUAAAUUUCUCAUUGACUACCCUUUCUUUUACAAAAUUGGUAUCAAGAUCAAUCUAAUUGGAUGUACUUAAAAGGAUUAUGCGUGUAUGACUUGCAUGCUAAGCUUAUCAAGAUAGUUGUAUCCAUUCAGGCAAAAGUUUUCUUGAAUUUCUUGUGACUAAUUUAUUACAAUUUUUAAUACAUUAAUUAGCUCACCUAUUCAAACAAUGAUAUUCUAUAAUUUCUUAAUUAAGGGGAAGCUAAAAAAAGUAAAUCCACCGAUUAAUGCCAGAAGUAUUAAGAUCAAGGUUAACACUCUAAUAAGAAAACCAACAAAAGGGAAGAAGAAUGUAUAAAAUCAUUUGUCAAGCAUUAAUCUAAACUAUCAACUUUGUUUUUAUUUUUAAGAGUCUGUUCUUGGGAUGAAAUAACAUGGACUCUUUUAGUAUAGCAGACCCCACAACCGGCCCCUUUCCCACCUGAAAAAGAACAAAAAGGAGACUAAAAAGAAGAGAGAAAAACAGAAAUUUGUAGCUAUGUCAGCAAGGUUCUCAAAUAAGGAUGCUUAUGCACUGUGGCUCUAUAUAGUGUUUUACAUACAUAUAACUUAUCCCCUCCUAAAAAGUUGUUAGUUUUCCCAGUUGCUGCAAAACUCACUAUCAGCUGAUUUGUUAUGAGCAAUUUUCUUUAACUUUUUGAUCAGUGUAAAUAAUCUGGUGUCCAUUAAGCUUCUGAGUUUCUAAAUCCUUAUCUUGUUUUUGUGUAAUAUGACGACAAACAAUCAGCACUUUUUAGGAAUGUUUGGCUGUGUAAAUUUCAUAUAUUAUUUUAGCAGAGCCCUUGCCUCCAGCAUAGUGUCCAGGCAGAUAUAAAAUGUAUAUUAUAUCUUUAAUGUUCUUUUUAUGUAGUAAUAAAGCUUUUUUGAUUGGCUAAUUCAACUUGAAAUGAGCUCUUCCAAAAUUGAGACUUUAGCUAUGUGUUUGAGAAUGUGAUUAAAGGCUGUGUAAAUUUCAUAUAUUCCGCCAUUCCAGUCGCUUUCAUCUCUUUGAAUCCUUUGUUACUGUCCAAAAAUCGUUUCUGUUGCUGUCCCAAUUUUGGAUUCCCCAAAUUCAGAGUUAGGGGUUGGAUAAAAUAGGGAAAAAAGAUAGAAAAGGGCUAGAAAAUACUGCUUAACCGACCUUAGUUUAGCAAAUACACUAAAAGAGGUUCUUUCUUUUCUUGUUCGUUGCUUGUUGGGUUCAUCCGAAUUCUUAGUCGCAUUUCGCUCGUUUGUUCCGGUUCGCUGCCCAUCAUAACAUAAACGCCUUUUCUUAGUUUUGCUCUGUUCAGGUCCUAAGUUAUUCUAUGUUUUCCGUUUAGGCAUUUGUGAUUAUGUUUGAGUCGUCAUGUGUUAAGUUUAUUCAUAUCAAUGGUAGUUUUUUCCUCUGUUCUACUGGAUGAUUAGUUUAUUUUACAAAAAUGUGAUAUAGCUCUUAGUUUUUUUCCGCUUCUCCAAAUUUAGGGCUUAGCUGGUAGUUUUGUUUUUCUGCAUAAACUUUAUGUUCCUCUUUCCGUUGGUUGACAUCUUAUGCUUGAGUUUAUGUCUACUUGAAUGGCUAAUUUCUCAUUCGAUUUACUGUUCUUCCUUUAAAGGUUAUUGUUAUGAGAUAUAUACCUAUGUAUUGCUUAUGUUGCUAGUUGUUAUGCUUGUAAGCUUGAAAAAUGUCUUCUUAUGUAGAUUUUUGCUUGAAAUAUUGAAGGUUUAUACCUCUUUGAUUUCACUGAUGUGGUUGCUACCACUGUUUAAUCUAAUCAUGUUGUCUAUGAUUUGUGAUUUAGUUUGAAAUUCUAAAUUUAGUUUCUAUAGGUGGGUUUGUUUUCCUAACAUGUCGUGGGCUGAUUACUUCAUUUGUAUCUUGACUAGUGUAAACAGGAUGAAUCGGAUAACUUACUGCCUUACUACUCUUUUACAUUGUGCCUGCUGGUUGAAUAUCUCUUGUUCUAAUUUCAGGUAUGUUUGAAGCAUGUCUCUUUGAUUGAUUUACUCGUAUCUUAGUAAAAUACUUGUUUAUAAGUUAAUAAGAUCUGAGGCUUUAAAUUUACCACUUGGGUUCAUCUUGCAUUCUAUUUCGUGUUGGAUUUCCAAAAUAUUUUGUGGUCAAAUGCUGUUAUGGGUUGUGUUUCCUCGUCUUAGCUUGUUCGCUGUUUUGUGGUUUAACAUAAAGGGCUUAUUUUAACUCAAAGUUAACACCACAAGUGGAUCAGAUUCUUAUUUUCUUAAGGUUUCCAUCUUAUUGCUUGUUGUUUAAACGUAAGGAUUGAGUGUUUGCUUAGUAUUUCAGUUCCAAAUAUUGAUAACCCAUUUUGAUGGUUCAAUUUCUCCUGAUUCUCUUAUCUUAUAAUGUUUAGUUGUAUUCAUUGCUUGUCUAUUUUGAAUCAUUCAUACUUGUUUGGUUUGAAUUCUCGUUGUUGUAAUCAUAGUUUUUUCCCAUCCCGAGUUCCCUUUCUUUUGGUUCAAAAUAUGUGAGGUCUUUAAAUUAUCGAUGUUGCUAUUUGGUUUGGUUUCAUGAAAGUUUAGGCUUAAAUGAUAAUUGAAGUAAGCUUUGGAAGAAUAAUGAAUACAUCAACUUUGUUACUUUAGAUUCAUUUACAGUGCUCAAUUUAGUGAGUUAUUUAUUUAUUUAUUUAUUUUUUUUGAUAACCGAGAAAUCCGUCUGUGACCCGCCCUUUGGACCAAUCACAGCCUUCUAAACUCGGUGGAUAAUGGGCCCGCCCCUCUACCCUUCUCCACUUAAAUACCGGGCUACGCUUUGCAUGGUGUGGGGCUUGAACCUGUGACCUAAGCCACAAAUCCUCCACCUUUUGCCACUUGAGCUAGGCCUUGGGGGCGAGUUAUUUAUUUUUCUCCUUUAAGGAUGCCUCAUUUUUAUACCAUUUCAAGCUCCCAUCUAUUACAGUAGCCUAUAAUUUAAUUUCUUGAAGUCCUUCAAAUUCUUUUUCUUGCAUUAAAGUACUAAUUCUCCUUUUCUUAUUUUUGUUUGAUGCAUGUGAAUUUGCCUUGAGUCCACUGGACUCCUCCCACAUUCUUAGUAUGUACUAAGGGUUGUAUGCAAGUCAAAAUUGUGGAUCCCUUCCAUUUGGCUUAAGGUGUAUACAAUAAGUCCUCUCUAUGCAGCACCCUAUAGACCCUGCAAUGCACAAAUUUGUGCAAUACUUCGUGACACUGUAAUUCUUUUCCUGAAUGCACUGGCUGCCCUAUAAUUGACCAUGAAGUUUAAGAAUUCUUUUUGUUGUUGUUGAUACUUGAUAAAGUUGAGUAAAGUUUAAGAAAUCAGUUCAUUGACAAGUACAAAAUGCUGAAGGUGCAGGGUUAGCUCCAUUCAAUUGUUGGCUUUGUUUGAGAGGGAAUAAAAAAAUGGCUCUUCGCAUAGAAAAACAACUGGUUUAAUUUUAUUUGCCUUUUUCUGGUGGUGAAAUUAGUUGUCCCACCACUCGUUCUAGAAAUAUAUAUGCCUUCUUGCGCCUUUGUUAAUCUAUAAUUCUUGACCGUAUAGAUUUUCAUGAUUAUGGCAUGCAUACUGUUGCAUCUUCAUCUCUAUAUUGUGCAGAGAAGUUAGGGUGGUUCGGAAAAUUCUGGCACAUCACAGUGCUCUAACUAAAUAAUUACAAUAUCUUGCAGGAGAAUGCACAAAAAAUUGCUUAAUAUUUAUCUUUUCCAAUCGACGGGUGAAGAAUUGCAAUUAUGCAGGUCUUCCUCCAGGAAGGUCUUUGCACUUCUCUCAACACUUCUCUCAGGUAUUCAAAACAAGCUUCUUUUUUUUGGGGGGGGGGAUUUGAACUACGGCUCUAUAAUUGUCGGUAUGCUGCCACCAUGAAGCUCUCCCUUGAAACUUACUGUUUAAAUGUUGAUCAAUUUGCAGGUUAUGGAUGCAGGAUUAGUGCUGAGUUUUCUAACAGGUUCUUUGGCACUCUUUAAGCAUGUUGUUGAGGCUACGAAGUACUUAGCAUUAUAGUCAGUUUUGGUUAGUUUCAUCUUAUGCUCAAUUACUAUUUUCUAAGAUUGUUUUUUCCUAUCAAACUACUUCCUAAUGACAUUUGCCUUCUCAAUCUUUUCCUAUUGAUAAUAGUAAUAUCAAACUAUUACUAUUCUUUUGCUUUGGUAUUCUCUUUUGAUAUUUGGACUGUGAGGACACAAUCUCAUUUUCAGUUGGGGGUGCCUCCCUUGUACUCAUUUUGUUGAUUGUUUCUGCAUACUGNNNNNNNNNNNNNNNNNNNNNNNNNNNNNNNNNNNNNNNNNNNNNNNNNNNNNNNNNNNNNNNNNNNNNNNNNNNNNNNNNNNNNNNNNNNNNNNNNNNNNNNNNNNNNNNNNNNNNNNNNNNNNNNNNNNNNNNNNNNNNNNNNNNNNNNNNNNNNNNNNNNNNNNNNNNNNNNNNNNNNNNNNNNNNNNNNNNNNNNNNNNNNNNNNNNNNNNNNNNNNNNNNNNNNNNNNNNNNNNNNNNNNNNNNNNNNNNNNNNNNNNNNNNNNNNNNNNNNNNNNNNNNNNNNNNNNNNNNNNNNNNNNNNNNNNNNNNNNNNNNNNNNNNNNNNNNNNNNNNNNNNNNNNNNNNNNNNNNNNNNNNNNNNNNNNNNNNNNNNNNNNNNNNNNNNNNNNNNNNNNNNNNNNNNNNNNNNNNNNNNNNNNNNNNNNNNNNNNNNNNNNNNNNNNNNNNNNNNNNNNNNNNNNNNNNNNNNNNNNNNNNNNNNNNNNNNNNNNNNNNNNNNNNNNNNNNNNNNNNNNNNNNNNNNNNNNNGUUGGAGAAAUGAUCUUAGGCUUUCUUUGAUGUUCUUGAAGUCCACUUUGUCUAAAAAUCCCACCUUUGCACUAAAUAUAUCCUUAGUUGUCCCCUUUGAGCCUAAUCCUUUUUAUUGGCAACCACAUUAUGCCUUAUCCUUUUUGAAAAAGUAACCCUCUUUUGAACCCUUCCCUCCUUGAACUUGAGGUUGUGAAAAAAAUCGAGGCUAAAAACCUAAGUUGGUGGUGUUAUGGGAAAUUCAUUGAAGGGAUGGAUGCUUACAACAUGAGGGCUUGAUAGAAAAAAAAAAUGAAGAGAGAAAUUGAGGGUUGGAUGGAAAGUCUUAAAGAAAGAAAAAGCUUUGAAAAAAGAAAGAAAGAAAAUGAAUAAAUGAGACUUGAAUCCUUUAAAAUUUGAAAAUGGUUGUAUGUGGGGCAACUAGAGUAGAAAUAAGAAAAGAAUAAUGAAAAAUAGUGUGGAAUGUGCAUGGGUUUGAAAAGUGAGGGUUGGAUGGGAAGUCUCAAAGAAAGAAAAAGCUUUGAAAAAGAAAGAAAGAAAAUGAAGAACCUAAAUGUUAUCCUAACCUUUCCUAAGCCUAUAUUACAAGCUUAACAAAGUCCUUUGAGAUUUCUAACCAAAUGGAGUUGAGUCAAUAAUGAUUGAAAAUCUGGGCAAGCCUAUGGUGUGACAUUUUGUGUACAUGAGAUGAUUCUUUGUGAGUGUGAGUGUUGCAUCUUUGUUGUCCCAUGUCUUUUUUAUAUGUGUGCGGUUUUGGGACGCUUCUUUCAUGUGAGGGCAUGUAAACCGAAAAAGUGGUGAUUUUGAAAAUUCCUAAUUGAGUCAAGUGAGCAUGUGAAAGAGUUAAUGAGUUGAGUCAUCUCUUGAGUUUGAGUUGUUGUCACUUAAAUGAUUCUUGGUUUUUAAAACUGUAAUUAGAAUGUGAGGAUUUCUUAUGUGAAAAAAGUUUGCAUGUGGACUAUUUGUUAGUACCAACCGGAGCCAUUACCUUUGUGCUUAAUUGAGAAAGGGAAGCUGAUUUGUGGUGUGUCUUGAAAUAUGAGCCUCUUGUGUUCGAACAUUACUAAGAGUUGGGUAUUUUUAUUAACGACGACCGCUUACUCUGUUAACUUGUUUUGAGGGUGAUUUGAGCGUCAUCAAUUGUUUAAGAUUUUGGAAAAGUUUUAAACAUGUGUGUAUAUUACUUCCUAGUGAUGCAAAUCUCCAGCUUCUUUUCACUGUUGUGGAGAAUACACCAUCUGAAACAGUUUGAUCAAAUUGCACUGUUGGUCUUGGAGAUCUGGCAGUUCGUUUUUCUAAUCUGUUAGAGCCAUGGACAGAGCAUAUGUAUGCAUGAUUAAGAGAUCGUUCAUUCUCAUCUAAUACUUACUGAAUGACAUGAAGGUUUGGCUGGACUAUCAAACAUUUAUACUUAGCUUUCAUGUGUAAGAAUUUUUAUCAUCUUGAUUUGCGUGUAUCAUUAUUAGGUGGAAGUUUGUGUAAAUGAAAUGGCCAACUGUUUGGAAGAUGAAGAUGAAAGAAUUUCAAAUCUUGCCAAAACUUUCUUUCAUGAGUUGUCAAAGAUAAGGUAGUAUAUUUACUCAACUUUUCUUUCAUCAGUUCCCUAAUAAAGAAGUUCAUCUAUCUAAUCUCUUUCUAGUCUUUCUACUAUUGAGCUUCUUUCAUCUGUUAUUGCGUGUUUUGGUGUGCACGUCACUAUAAUACUUGUUUUUUUCCUUUACACUUAAUGUUUAGUGGGAACUUUUGCAUUGUUCCCGUCUUUUUGUUUAGUUCCAAUUUCUUUCAUUUGUUCUUGACCUUCAAUUAGGAGGAACAAAGGUAUUUUAGACUGGUUCCUCUUUUUUGGUUAGUUAUUAGGGUAUAUUUUCCUAAGAUUGUCGUAGAUCCAAGUGGAAACUUUUGAUUAUUGCAACUCUGUAAAACACAUGACCCUCUUUCUAAGAAAGUGUUCUUCUGCAGUUUUCUUGAACAAAGUAUGCGUUGAAACAGACACGUGGGAAAUUUGGUCUUUGUUCAAAGAUAGUACGUUGAGCAAUUGGUCUUGACCUGAUCAUCUGACGUUCCUCUGAUUCUACUUUUUUGAGUCUUUAGUUAUUUGUAUUAUAUUCCCUGUCUUGUUUCUGUUCUCUGUAGGAGGUGGUUGCGAGGGUGGUGGAUUAUUUCUUUGGAAUAAGAGAAUAUUUUGUACUGUUAGAAUGCUUCUUCCAGUGAUUUUUUCCUGUAUUUCUUCUUUCCAUUUUACUUGUUCUCAUCCAGAUCCUUUUCUCUCAUUUUAACUUUUUUUUAAUGUUAUAAUCACACAUUAAGUUUGAUGAUUUUGGAUGUCUUAUAAUUUUAACUUUUUCUAAUGUUAUAAUCACACAUUAGUUUGAUGAUUAAGAUGUCAAUGAAGUAAUAUUUCUCUGUUGGCAUUUGAGUGAUAUAUUAUCUGUAACUGAAGUUGUACUAUCUAAGGUGCAGUGUGAGCUGCAAUGUGAGGUAUGUACUGCACCGAAGCAAGGUGCAUGACAUUUAUUCAUAUGGGAACCCUGCCAAGUCUAAAUUCUCAACAGUUGCAUUAUUACUUAUUGUUAACAUUAAGUCAACCGUUGCUUACAGUGAUUGUUAAUCAUGUAAAAUCAAUUCAUGCUUUACUUCCAGGAGAAGAUGCUUUCCUCAAUGUGACAACUUAGAUUAUAUUUGAACUAAGAAAAAUAAUGGAGAUGUUCCAGGAGAAAUAGCUUGAUUGAGAAGCAGAAUAGAAAAAUGCAGAAACACCGAAGAAUUAGUGGAAAAGAUAAAUGAAUGCAAUCAAAGGGUAAUUCCAAAAAAGAGAAACAAAGUUGCAUAGUCUCCAUAGAACUAUAAAUGGAAUUUUAGUUUUUAAGAAAAUAUUGCUUUGUUAAUUUAUUUUGAUAAAGUGAAGUUACUAUUCGUGAAGGUCUUUGAACUUCUCUCAGGUAUUCAAACAAGUGAUUUUUUUGGAAAUUUGAACUAAGGCUCUAUGGUUGUCUGUAUCCCACCAUGGAGCUCUCCCUUGAAUCUUACUGUUUAAAUGUUGAUUAAUUUGCAGGCAAUGAGUGCAAGAUCGAUGCUGAGUUUUCUGACCGGUUCUUUAGCACUCUUUAAGCAUGUUCCUAAGGCUACCAAGUACUUCAACAUUAUAGUAAGUAUUGGUUAGUUUCAUCUUAUGCUCAAUUACAAUUUUCUAAGAUCAUUUUUUCUAUCAAACUACUUCCUAAUGACAUUUGCCUUCUCAAUCUUUUCCCUGUUGAUUAUAGUAAACGUGCAAAAAUAUUUUUGCUUUGGUAGUCCCUUGUAUUCUCUUUUGAUAUUUGGACUGUGAGGACACAAUCUCAUUUUCAGUUGGGGGUGCCUCCCUUGUACUCAUUUUGUUGAUUGUUUCUGCAUACUGCGAUUGUGCCCUUGUCGGGCGUACUUUUCCUCCUUGUUAUGGAUUGGUGUGCCCUUGUCGGGCUUUGAUAUUGUGGAUGUUUCUGUUGAUAUUGUGUUGGAUUGGUCUAUUUUAGUUUUUGAUUUGUAGUUUGUAGCUUCUUUGUUUUUUUUUUAUAAUAAGAUUUGGAUUAACGAUCCCCGAUGAUGGAUAGAGAGUGACGUCCUUCUUAAGGUUAAAUCAUCGAUUGCUUGUGAAUGUUUGAUUGGCGUUGAUUGUGGCGAAGUUUGAGUAGCCGUUCCCGAAUAGAUGCAUGAGGUUGCUUGUUGAUGGAUUGGUUGAUGACUUUAAGGGUAAAAUCAUCGUCAUUUUGGGAAGGUUUUGACUUGGUUGGUACUAAGAGCAUAGUCAUGCAUGUGAAUCAUGAGCAUACCUCUCCGUUUUUAUAAGGUUGAGCAUGUUAUGAAUGAUUUGUGACAACUCUUACAACUCUUUUUGUGACUUUUGAUUCGUUAGCGGUUAAAAUGUUCAGUGCUACUUGUAUUUUGAAAAGGAAGUAAGAUUUUGAACCAUCUUGAUUGAUUUGCAGGCCAUGUGUGGUGAGUUAUUGAAUAAUGCCUUGUGUUCGCUAUUGUCACCUAGAACUUGCCCGGUUGGUCUUGAAAUGUUGGUCUUGAUUGAGUUUGGUUGGAGAAAUGAUCUUAGGCUUUCUUUGAUGUUCUUGAAGUCCACUUUGUCUAAAAAUCCCACCUUUGCACUAAAUAUAUCCUUAGUUGUCCCCUUUGAGCCUAAUCCUUUUUAUUGGCAACCACAUUACAAGCCUUAUCCUUUUUGAAAAAAGUAACCCUCUUUUGAACCCUUCCCUCCUUGAACUUGAGGUUGUGAAAGUCGAGGCUAAAAGCCUAAGUUGGUGGUGUUAUGGGAAAUUCAUUGAAGUGAUCAAUGCUUACCAUAUCCGCUUGAUAGAAAAAAAAAGUAGAGAGAAAUUGAGGGUUGGAUGAGAAGUCUUAAAGAAAGAAAAUGCUUUGAAAAAGAAAGAAAGAAAAUGAAUAAAUGAGACUUGAAUCCUCCAAAAGUUGAAAAUGGUUGUAUGUGGGGCAACUAGAGUAGAAAUAAGAAAAGAAUAAUGAAAAAUAGUGUGGAAUGUGCAUGGGUUUGAAAAGUAGAGAAAGUUGGAAAUGAUGAGUUGUUGUGUAGUGUUCAAGGAGGGUGUAGUCACUUAUACCUAAAUGAUAUUCUAACCUUUCCUAAGCCUAUAUUACAAGCUUAACAAAGUCCUUUGAGAUUUCUAACCAAAUGGAGUUGAGUCAAUAAUGAUUGAAAAUAUGGGCAAGCCAAUGAUUGGUGUGACAUUUGUGUACAUGAGAUGAUUCUUUGUGAGUGUGAGUGUUGCAUCUUUGUUGUCCCAUGUCUUGUUUAUAUGUGUGUGCGGUUUUGGGACACUUCUUUCUUGUGAGGGCAUGUAAGCUGAAAAGUGGUGAUUUUGAAAAUUCCUAAUUGAGUCAAGAGCAUGUGAAAGUGUUAAUGAGUUGAGUCAUCUCUUGAGUUUGAGUUGUUGUCACUUAAAUGAUUCUUGGUUUUUAAAUAUGUAAUGAGAAUGAGAGGAUUUCUUAUGUGAAAAAAGUUUGCAUGUGGACUAUUUGUUAGUACCAACCGGAGCCAUUACCUUUGUGCUUAAUUGAGAAAGGGAAGUUGAUUUGUGGUGUGUCUUGAAUUAUGAGCCUCUUGUGUUCGAACAUUACUAAGUGUUGGGUAUUUUCAUUAAUGACGACCGCUUACUCUGUUAACUUGUUUUGAGGGUGAUUUGAGCGUCAUCAAUUGUUUAAGAUUUUUGGAAAAAGUUUUAAACAUGUGUGUAUAUUACUUCCUAGUGAUGCAAAUCUCCAGCCUCUUCACUGUUUUGGAGAAUGCACCAUCUGAAACAGUUCGAUCAAAUUGCACUGUUACUCUUGGAGAUCUGGAACUCGUUUUCCUAAUCUGUUAGAGCCAUGGACAGAGCAUACGUAUGCAUGAUUAAGAGAUCGUUCAUUCUCAUCUAAUACUGAAG